AGGGGAUAAUGGGGUCACGUGGUGUCAGAGGAGAUCCUGGGAGGCUCGGACCACCUGGUCCAGUAGGACAUGCAGGACCAAAGGGACACGAGGGAAGUAAAGGAGAACCUGGGGAACUGGGACUCAAGGGAGAGCCAGGACCUCCAGGCCCACCAGGGGAGUCGGGCGAUGAUGGUCUUCCAGGAAUUCAGGGUCCUGAGGCUCUGCCGGGGUUAGAGG